ensembl:lncRNA novel transcript
ACAUCCUGAUGAUGCCUCCACCUCCCCUCCUUUGCCUUUAUGACUUACCCUUGGCCCCCACAACCCUCUCUCCGCUCCCUUGGUCCUAUUCUGGUUGGAAAUGCUCCAGAAUAGUAAUGCUUGCUCAAUUAUUUAACUCCUACCUGUUUUCUUCCAGAGCUGGCCUGUCCUCCCCGCAGCAAUUACGAGCUCUGCGGCUCCUCCUGUCCUAGCUCUUGUGCCGAGCCUGCCCUGCCCGACAGCUGCCUGACACCAUGCCAGGAUGGCUGCCAGUGUGACCCAGGCUUUGUGCUCAGUGGCAUGGACUGCGUGCCCCCAAUCCAGUGCAGCUGCUCCAUGGGGGGCAGGUACCACCACCCGGCUGGGGAGGCCUUCUGGACUGGGGAGCGCUGUGAGCAAUUCUGCCACUGCCAGGCCUCCACCCACGCCGUGUGCUGCUCCCCGUCCUCCUGUGGGCCGGGGCAGAGAUGUGAGACCCUCAGGGGCAUCUUUGGGUGCCACCCACUCUCCCCUGGCAUUUAUCAAGCAACCAUGCACUCACACGUCGCCUCCUUUGACCGGAAGAGUGUUGAGUUUCCAGGCACUUGCGCUUCUGCUUUUACCAAGUCCUGUGGCUCCUCCAGCUCAUUGCGCCUUUUCAAGGUGGAAAUUGGGAAGGAGAAACAAGUCCAGCAGUCCCAUUGUGUUCAUUUCAAAGAUGUAGGUUCAUGGGACCCAGGUUUGUCUGCAGAGAGAGCCCCGACCUGAUGAGGUGCUGAGACCACAGCGCUGUUCCACAAAGCCCCAGGAAGCCACAUUACCCUGUCCACCGGCCUCUCUAGCCCCAUCUUGCCCAGGAAGUGGGACCUUGGCGUAUCGCUGUGACCACACCUCCCAGCCGGUCAGCCUGGCCGCUCAGGCUCUACCUGCAAAGGCAAGGCCCCACCCAACCAGCACCCCUCUCAUGGCUGGGGGUGCCUCCAGGCUGCCCUCUCUAGGGCCAGGAGCCUGCAGAAACGCUCCCAGCCUUGAAUAAAGAGCAACGAAAUUAUUGAAACAAAAUCAAUAAAAGUUUGAAUCAGGGAUGGUA